rnacentral:rRNA from 1 species
GACAGAGGUGCCAAGCGUUAGGCGGAAUCACUGGGCUUAAAGCGUGUGUAGGCGGGUUUGUAAGUACCUUGUGAAAUCCCAUGGCUCAACCAUGGAACUGCUCGGUAUACUGCGAAUCUUGAGCCACUUAGGGGCUACCGGAACAAAUGGUGGAGCGGUGAAAUGCGUAGAUAUCAUUUGGAACGCCAAUGGUGAAAACAGGUAGCUGGGAGUGUGCUGACGCUGAGACACGAAAGCCAGGGGGAGCGAACGGG